GAUGAAGAACGUAGCGAAAUGCGAUAAGUAAUGUGAAUUGCAGAAUUCAGUGAAUCAUCGAAUCUUUGAACGCACCUUGCGCCCUUUGGCUAUUCCGAAGGGCAUGCCUGUUUGAGUAUCGUGAACACCUCAACUCUCAUGGUUUGCCAUGAUGAGCUUGGACUUUGGGGGUUUUGCUGGCCUUUGGUCGGCUCCUCUCAAACGGAUCAGCUUUCCAGUGUUUGGUGGCGUCACGGGUGUGAUAACUAUCUACGCCUGUGGUUUUCUGCCAUAUAACCUUCAGCGAUGGAGGUUCGCUGGGGCUCAUAAAUGUCUCUCUUCAGUGGAGACAGCUUUUUGGACGUUUGAUCUCAAAUCAGGUAGGACUACCCGCUGAACUUAAGCAUAUCAAUAAGCGGAGGA
rnacentral:misc_RNA from 1 species